UGCAGUCGAGCGGACUUACAAAGCUUGCUUUUGUAAGUUAGCGGCGGACGGGUGAGUAACACGUGGGCAACCUGCCCUUGAGACUGGGAUAACUUCGGGAAACCGGAGCUAAUACCGGAUAAUAUAAGGAACCUCCUGGUUCCUUAUUGAAAGAUGGUUUCGGCUAUCACUUAAGGAUGGGCCCGCGGCGCAUUAGCUAGUUGGUGAGGUAACGGCUCACCAAGGCGACGAUGCGUAGCCGACCUGAGAGGGUGAUCGGCCACACUGGGACUGAGACACGGCCCAGACUCCUACGGGAGGCAGCAGUAGGGAAUCUUCCACAAUGGACGAAAGUCUGAUGGAGCAACGCCGCGUGAGUGAUGAAGGCCUUCGGGUCGUAAAGCUCUGUUGUUAGGGAAGAACAAGUGCGAGAGUAACUGCUCGCACCUUGACGGUACCUAACCAGAAAGCCACGGCUAACUACGUGCCAGCAGCCGCGGUAAUACGUAGGUGGCAAGCGUUAUCCGGAAUUAUUGGGCGUAAAGCGCGCGCAGGUGGUUUCUUAAGUCUGAUGUGAAAGCCCACGGCUCAACCGUGGAGGGUCAUUGGAAACUGGGGAACUUGAGUG
rnacentral:rRNA from 1 species